UGACCUUAUCUCCUCUGAUGCUUUUCCAGCAUUAUGGUUGUAAGAGCAUUAUGGAACAUCUAGUCCACAACAUCUAGAGUUCUGGAGUUUGUCAACCCUUGGUGCUUCUAUCACUGCUUUUGCCCCCCGCAUGCACACACUUAAAGUGGGAUCUUCCUUCUGUCACUACUCUGGUGUUUGCUGAUGAUAAACGAUUUUCCCUAUAGCUUUUCCCAGUAAACAAAGUCAUAAUGUUAGAAAUGUCUCUCAUUCGCAAAACAUACUGACCAGACUAGAGCUUUGUUCCAUCAGUUGCCAUUAGGUCAUAUUGACUACUCUAAACCAAAUGUCAGGCCAAAUCUGGUUCCCACUAAAAUAGAACUAUUUACUCUCCAUUACUAGAUUUUGAUUGGCUUUAUGAUGCAAAGUCUUUAAUAAUAUGAUAAUCCCAAUUUGUGAUUACAAUUCUGUGUUUGUAUGUGGUUUUUGUAACCUGUUUUGUAUCUGAUGCAGGAAACAGGAUAUUUUUGGGGUGACCACAAUUUUCCGUAACAUCGGCCUCACACCAACUUCAAUCGAC